CUAGCGACUUCAGAGUUUGAUCCUGGCUCAGGAUGAACGCUGGCGGCGUGCCUAAUACAUGCAAGUCGAGCGAACAGACGAGGAGCUUGCUCCUCUGACGUUAGCGGCGGACGGGUGAGUAACACGUGGAUAACCUACCUAUAAGACUGGGAUAACUUCGGGAAACCGGAGCUAAUACCGGAUAAUAUAUUGAACCGCAUGGUUCAAUAGUGAAAGACGGUUUUGCUGUCACUUAUAGAUGGAUCCGCGCCGCAUUAGCUAGUUGGUAAGGUAACGGCUUACCAAGGCAACGAUGCGUAGCCGACCUGAGAGGGUGAUCGGCCACACUGGAACUGAGACACGGUCCAG
rnacentral:rRNA from 1 species